rnacentral:tRNA from 1 species
AAUAGAGUGCCUGACAAAAGGACUAUUUUGAUAGAGUAGAUUAUACGAAUAUUUCGUCUUUAUUA